rnacentral:lncRNA from 1 species
AGUAUCUUGACAAAAAUUCAGUAGAAAACAAAUUUCUGUGCAAGGGGAUAUUUCAAUGACUCCAGGAAAAGACAGUACAAGCAAAAAUUUCAACAUUCCCGGAGAAGUUUUUGCAUGAAUAUGAAACAAAAGUAGUCUUCGAUAAUCCACAUUGAAGGUAUACACAUUAAUAAUACAUUCCAUGUCAUGAUUCCAUGGUUAUAAAAGAACUUUUUUGUCACCAUUUGUACAAAUGUUCAUAGAGAUUAUUAACAAACUGUGCCAGCUAUACAUCAAAGCUGAAUAAGGUUUCAGAAUUUUCCACUGAAGAGCAUCCUCUGCUGGACGAACAUACUGCAGGCAAACAAAAUAGUUACUUUCAAGAGUCCAGAGGAAGUUGAAAUUGCAUUACAUUAGAAUUAACCUAAAAACGUAUAUCAUUUUAUCUAAUUUUAGCUUCCAAAUUUGCAAGAUCUUUAGAAGCAAUAUACAUGUAUUGAUGUAUAGACCUAGAACUUUGAAUAUACCAGUGGGGAAUGAAUCAAUCAUGGCAUUGUUUUUUAAAGGCCUACAGACAAUAAGACAACCAUCAUGAGAUGUUCUUGUUCAAUAACAAACUUGUAUAAAUCUAAGAAAUUAACAGAGCGUGUAAGAGGUGAAACCACACAAAAAUAAUUAAAAGGAAAUUCAUUAGGUUCGAUACUUACAGUUGCUACAUCAAACGCCUCCCUCAGUGCACCAGCUGGAAAAAAAGUCGGAUUCUGUCUGCCAUCACGCAUACAACAAAGGUCAAAAUCUAAGCAAAAAAUUUUAUUUCAAAAAGCCAAGCCUCAUAAAAUACCAGUAGAUCAAAAGACUAACCAAGGGAUGGACAAAUCUUUACAUCAGUU